rnacentral:rRNA from 1 species
CCUACGGGAGGCAGCAGUAGGGAAUAUUGCUCAAUGGGGGAAACCCUGAAGCAGCAACGCCGCGUGGAGGAUGAAGGUUUUCGGAUUGUAAACUCCUUUUGUUAGAGAAGAUAAUGACGGUAUCUAACGAAUAAGCACCGGCUAACUCCGUGCCAGCAGCCGCGGUAAUACGGAGGGUGCAAGCGUUACUCGGAAUCACUGGGCGUAAAGAGCGCGUAGGCGGGAUAGCAAGUCAGAUGUGAAAUCCUAUGGCUUAACCAUAGAACUGCAUUUGAUACUGUUAUUCUAGAGUAUGGGAGAGGUAGGUGGAAUUCUUGGUGUAGGGGUAAAAUGCGUAGAGAUCAAGAGGAAUACUCAUUGCGAAGGCGACCUGCUAGAACAUAACUGACGCUGAUGCGCGAAAGCGUGGGGAGCAAACAGGAUUAGAUACCCCAGUAGUC